AUGCGUUAGGGAUAGUAGCGGCAUCCUUUUUUUAUCUAGGCUUUUUUUUGGGCCUAGAUAAAAAAAGAUAUAGCGAAUAGCCCGACCCCUU
rnacentral:sRNA from 1 species